GCAGCCGCGGUAAUACGGAGGGUGCAAGCGUUAAUCGGAAUAACUGGGCGUAAAGGGCAUGCAGGCGGUUAUACAAGUAGGAUGUGAAAGCCUGGGGCUCAACCUCAGAACUGCAUUCUAAACUGUGUGACUAGAGUAUUGCAGGGGGAGACGGAAUUUCAGGUGUAGCGGUGGAAUGCGUAGAUAUCUGAAAGAACACCAAAGGCGAAGGCAGUCUCCUGGGCAAAUACUGACGCUCAUAUGCGAAAGCGUGGGUAGCAAACAGGAUUAGAUACCCC
rnacentral:rRNA from 1 species